rnacentral:rRNA from 1 species
UGGGCAACCUGCCCUUGGCUCCGGGAUAACUCCGGGAAACCGAAGCUAAUACCGGAUACGACACGCGGAGGCAUCUUCUGCGUGUGGAAAGAUUUAUCGGCCAGGGAUGGGCUCGCGGCCUAUCAGCUUGUUGGUGGGGUAACGGCCCACCAAGGCGACGACGGGUAGCCGGCCUGAGAGGGCGACCGGCCACACUGGGACUGAGACACGGCCCAGACUCCUACGGGAGGCA